CACAUGCAAGUCGAACGAUGAAGAGCAGCUUGCUGCUUGGAUUAGUGGCGCACGGGUGAGUAAUAUAUAGGUAAUGUGCCUCUUAGUCUGGGAUAGCCAUUGGAAACGAUGAUUAAUACUGGAUACUCCUUCUAACUCUAAUGUUAGUCGGGAAAGUUUUUCGCUAAGAGAUCAGCCUAUAUCCCAUCAGUUAGUUGGUAAGGUAACGGCUUACCAAGGCAAUGACGGGUAGCGGGUUUGAGAGGAUGAUCCGCCACACUGGUACUGAGACACGGACCAGACUCCUACGGGAGGCAGCAGUGAGGAAUAUUGCACAAUGGGGGAAACCCUGAUGCAGCAACGCCGCGUGGAGGAUGACGCAUUUCGGUGUGUAAACUCCUUUUAUAUGUCAAGAAAAUGACGGUAGCAUAUGAAUAAGCACCGGCUAACUCCGUGCCAGCAGCCGCGGUAAUACGGAGGGUGCAAGCGUUACUCGGAAUCACUGGGCGUAAAGGACGCGUAGGCGGAUUGGAAAGUCAGAUGUGAAAUCCUACAGCUUAACUGUAGAACUGCAUUUGAAACUUCUAAUCUAGAGUAUGGGAGGGGGAGAUGGAAUUAGUGGUGUAGGGGUAAAAUCCGUAGAUAUCACUAGGAAUACCGAAAGCGAAGGCGAUCUCCUGGAACAUUACUGACGCUAAGGCGUGAAAGCGUGGGGAGCAAACAGGAUUAGAUACCCUGGUAGUCCACGCCCUAAACGAUGAACACUAGUCGUCGGGAUGCUUGUCAUCUCGGUGAUGCACUUAACAGAUUAAGUGUUCCGCCUGGGGAGUAC
rnacentral:rRNA from 1 species